ensembl:lncRNA
CAAAAACACACUUUUUUAUUGAUGCAAAUCAAUAAAGUGUAGUCAGAUUUCACUGCUGCAAAGGCUUGUUAUAGAUCUUUGUGAAAUGCACAAGGCGUCCCUUAAAGUAACAUUUGGAUCUCAGGAUUAGAAAAGGCAAUUACAAUUUGGUCUCACAAAGAAUCAAGACUUGUAGUUGCAGAUUGUGAGUUUGCUCCUUUUUGGCUUUGACAUUUUACACUGAACAAUAUUCUAACGUAGGGCUUCAAGCAUUGAACAAAUGCAUCAGCAUUCAAAUGAAAUACAUUUUUGAUUCUCAAAUGGUAAAUGUGAUACACUUGAAACCUGACUAAAGUCAACACAACACACGAGAGCACGAGUAAAUACAGAUCAUUGAGGUUUUUAAUAAUCAUCAACACAUUUAUGUACAAAGCAGGCAAUGUCAUAUUCAAAUGAUCCAAAAUGCAUUUCUAUUUUUUUUUUCUUUCUUUUCCGGUCAUUAAAAUAGCUACAGAUAACCCCAUGGAAUCAAUUCAACAGUUCAACUACACUUUUGGUACAGUCAGUAUAGUUACAGUUAAACAGCCCUGGGUGCGGGACGUCGACAAACAGAUCCAGAAUAAUGUUCCCUCCAAUGAAAAUAAACGCAUUAUGAGUGAGCGAUUCCAUAAAAACCUCACCCCUGCCAGUCAGCCCAAAAGCUCCAAGUACACUUUUGUUCUUCAGUUACCCAAUGAGAACAAAGCAUCGAAUGAAUCGUAGACCCCGUUUAACCAGAUGCAGCUCAGACAGAAGACCUGCAAGAGGCCGGAGAAACAUUUACAAGUGAAGCCGAUAUUAAACGCAGAAUUGGAAUAAAUGAAAUGGGAUUUUUUUUUGCUUUUACAAGCUCUUAAUUCUUUCCAAUUAGACAUGUGAUGUGGUUUUAGUUCUUUAUUCAAGAAAAGCAUCUUGAGACCAGGAACCUGAUUGUCCAAUACACAGAACAGUACAGAGCGAACUUUGUUCAUUCAACUCUAACCAGUAGUCAUUUGUCACCUCCAGCACAGCAUUAUGAAUUAUGCUCCUGUGUGUGUCUCUAUAAAAGUCAAUAGAAAUUGUGUUUUAAUAGUGUAAAACAAUAAAAAGGCAAAAGCAUAUCCAAAGCGGAUUUUGAAAACAAAAAAACAAAACCUCAUGUAUGAAUGUCACAGAAAAUUUGAAGUGAUCUUUUAAAUGAAUAAUAAUUAACAUUUACAUUCUACAGUGGGAAGGAAGAUACAUUUUCGCCCAUCCGUUUUAUCAAAUUCAGAUAAAGCUUGGUGGCUCAAGGUUUACAAGUUGGUAAAAAAAAAUCCCAUCAAAGCCCAAAUGAAAGACUAGGAUAGAGUCCAAACAUUAGGUUGGGGUCACUUAAAACAGAGUGAACAAAAAUCACACCCAGGGAAGUGCUAACUGAAUUAGCUACGUUUUGUCGUAGCCAAAAUACCAUUCCUUCAACAUAAACCCAAUCUGGCAUCCUGCUCCAGGAUUCAUGCGCGGUCACUCCUGCCCUGCACACCCAGGCUUUGGAAAACAAAAUCACAUGUGAGCAUCUAACAAACCGUUGUCUGCAUUAUUUAUUUAAAAAGACGGGGACUAGAGAUAAUCAAGGGAAAUACAGAAGAACAAGGAAGAAGUCUCCACUUAACAGUUCUUUUAGAAAGCAUAAAAGCAAAACUAAUUUUGAGAAACUAAGGUUUUACAAAAAAACACUUGCGCCACUAGUUAGUUUGGUUUGUUUCCUCUUUAUGUCAGUAACCGCUUAAAAUGUGCAGCAACAUUGAGGUGGUGAAAGUCACUAUAUACACACACACGCACACACGCCAACAAUCAUACAACUGUGCACACGUUAGUGUGCCCAGUUCACUGCGUGGCAUCACAGUCUCUCUCGCUCAGAAACAAAAGUGGGGAGCUAGGAGGGGCAGCGGCUGGUGCCUGAAUGCCUGCUUGUGAAAACUUGGAUGCUCUUCUUCAUGGAGUUUAUUUGGGUUCAGUCAGCUCAUCUGGCUGCCAAAAGGGAACUGUGUGAAGGCAGGUCCUCCGUUUGUUACGCUCACCCAUCAGUCCUUUUGAGGGUGGUGGCU